rnacentral:rRNA from 1 species
UACGUACUGUGCGAGCGUUAUUCGGAAUCACUGGGCUUAAAGGGUGCGUAGGCGGCCAAUUAAGUAGGGUGUGAAAGGUUACGGCUCAACCGUGACAUUGCGCUCUAGACUGAUUGGCUCGAGUGAGAUAGGGGUGUGCGGAACUUCCAGUGGAGCGGUGAAAUGUGUUGAUAUUGGAAGGAACGCCGGUGGCGAAAGCGGCACACUGGGUCUUAACUGACGCUGAGGCACGAAAGCCAGGGGAGCGAACGGG